rnacentral:rRNA from 1 species
UGGGGGAUAUUGCACAAUGGGCGAAAGCCUGAUGCAGCGACGCCGCGUGGGGGAUGAAGGCCAUCGGGUUGUAAACUUCUUUUGCUCUGAACAAGGCGCACCAUGGGGUGUGUUGAGUGUAGGGGUUGAUUAGCGCCGGCUAACUACGUGCCAGCAGCCGCGGUAAUACGUAGGGCGCGAGCGUUGUCCGGAAUUAUUGGGCGUAAAGGGCUUGUAGGUGGCUGGUUGCGUCUGUCGUGAAAGCUCAUGGCUUAACUGUGGGUUUGCGGUGGGUACGGGCUGGCUUGAGUGCAGUAGGGGAGGCUGGAAUUCCUGGUGUAGCGGUGGAAUGCGCAGAUAUCAGGAGGAAUACCGGUGGCGAAGGCGGGUCUCUGGGCUGUUACUGACACUGAGGAGCGAAAGCAUGGGGAGCGAACAGG